AGGAAUAUUGGUCAAUGGACGAGAGUCUGAACCAGCCAAGUAGCGUGAAGGAUGAAGAUUCUAUGGAUUGUAAACUUCUUUUAUACGGGAAUAAACGGAUCCACGUGUGGAUUUUUGCAUGUACCGUAUGAAUAAGGAUCGGCUAACUCCGUGCCAGCAGCCGCGGUAAUACGGAGGAUCCGAGCGUUAUCCGGAUUUAUUGGGUUUAAAGGGAGCGUAGAUGGGUUGUUAAGUCAGUUGUGAAAGUUUGCGGCUCAACCGUAAAAUUGCAAUUGAUACUGGCAGUCUUGAGUACAGUUGAGGUAGGCGGAAUUCGUGGUGUAGCGGUGAAAUGCUUAGAUAUCACGAAGAACUCCGAUUGCGAAGGCAGCUUACUAACCUGUAACUGACAUUGAUGCUCGAAAGUGUGGGUAUCAAACAGGAUUAGAUACCCUGGUAGUCCACACGGUAAACGAUGAAUACUCGCUGUAGGCGAUAUACGGUCUGCGGCCAAGCGAAAGCAUUAAGUAUUCCACCUGGGGAGUACGCCGGCAACGGUGAAACUCAAAGGAAUUGACGGGGGCCCGCACAAGCGGAGGAACAUGUGGUUUAAUUCGAUGAUACGCGAGGAACCUUACCCGGGCUUAAAUUGCAACCGAAUAUGGCGGAAACGCUAUAGCUAGCAAUAGCGGUUGUGAAGGUGCUGCAUGGUUGUCGUCAGCUCGUGCCGUGAGGUGUCGGCUUAAGUGCCAUAACGAGCGCAACCCUUGCCGAUAGUUACUAACAGGUUAUGCUGAGGACUCUGUCGGGACUGCCAUCGUAAGAUGUGAGGAAGGUGGGGAUGACGUCAAAUCAGCACGGCCCUUACGUCCGGGGCUACACACGUGUUACAAUGGGGGGUACAGAGGGCUGCUACCACGCAAGUGGAUGCCAAUCCCAAAAACCUCUCUCAGUUCGGAUUGAAGUCUGCAACCCGACUUCAUGAAGCUGGAUUCGCUAGUAAUCGCGCAUCAGCCACGGCGCGGUGAAUACGUUCCCG
rnacentral:rRNA from 1 species